rnacentral:tRNA from 1 species
AAAGUAUUAAGUUAAUUCUAAACUAUUGACCUUCAAAGUCAAAUAUUCAUAUGAAUACUUUG